GACGAACGCUGGCGGCGUGCUUAACACAUGCAAGUCGAGCGGAAAGGCCACUUCGGUGGUACUCGAGCGGCGAACGGGUGAGUAACACGUGAGUAAUCUGCCCCUGGCUUUGGGAUAGCCACCGGAAACGGGGAUUAAUACCGGAUACGACCACUUCGCGCAUGGGAUGGUGGUGGAAAGUUUUUUCGGCCAGGGAUGUGCUCGCGGCCUAUCAGCUUGAUGGUGGGGUAAUGGCUCACCAUGGCUUCGACGGGUAGCCGGCCUGAGAGGGUGACCGGUCACACUGGGACUGAGACACGGCCCAGACUCCUACGGGAGGCAGCAGUGGGGAAUAUUGGACAAUGGGCGGAAGCCUGAUCCAGCAACGCCGCGUGAGGGAUGACGGCCUUCGGGUUGUAAACCUCUUUCAGCAGGGACGAAGCGCAAGUGACGGUACCUGCAGAGGAAGCACCGGCCAACUACGUGCCAGCCGCCGCCGUAA
rnacentral:rRNA from 1 species